rnacentral:rRNA from 1 species
UACGGAGGGUGCGAGCGUUAAUCGGAAUUACUGGGCGUAAAGGGUGCGUAGGUGGUUUGUUAAGUUAUCUGUGAAAUCCCUGGGCUCAACCUGGGCAGGUCAGAUAAUACUGAUAAACUCGAGUAUAGGAGAGGGUAGUGGAAUUUCCGGUGUAGCGGUGAAAUGCGUAGAGAUCGGAAGGAACACCAGUGGCGAAGGCGGCUACCUGGCCUAAUACUGACACUGAGGCACGAAAGCGUGGGGAGCAAACAGG